UGGGGAAUUUUGGACAAUGGGGGAAACCCUGAUCCAGCCAUCCCGCGUGUGCGAUGAAGGCCUUCGGGUUGUAAAGCACUUUUGGCAGGAAAGAAACGUCAUGGGUUAAUACCCCGUGAAACUGACGGUACCUGCAGAAUAAGCACCGGCUAACUACGUGCCAGCAGCCGCGGUAAUACGUAGGGUGCAAGCGUUAAUCGGAAUUACUGGGCGUAAAGCGUGCGCAGGCGGUUCGGAAGGAAAGAUGUGAAAUCCCAGAGCUCAACUUUGGAACUGCAUUUUUAGCUACCGGCCUAGAGUGUGUCAGAGGGAGGUGGAAUUCCGCGUGUAGCAGUGAAAUGCGUAGAUAUGCGAAGGAACACCGAUGGCGAAGGCAGCCUCCUGGGAUAACACUGACGCUCAUGCACGAAAGCGUGGGGAGCAAACAGG
rnacentral:rRNA from 1 species